rnacentral:lncRNA from 1 species
UUGCAGGUUUUUUCCUCUUUGCGCCAACUUGAAUAUUAGUUUCUUUUGAAGCUUCGUCAACUUGAACUGCUUUCAACUUGUCAUUUUGUAUUUUACUUCUUCUUUCAUCAACUUUGGAUGCCGAUACACUUGCAAAAUAUUUCUCCACUUGAGUCUGUUGCAACGAGAAAGAGGGCCCAUAAAAAUUGAGAAUUUUGGUGGGUGUACCUCUGGGUGGUCUGUGG